GAUUGCGGUUGCGGGAGAGCGGCUAACUGUAAGGUUUGAAAUCCGGCCAUUUGCUUGUAACACCGGUGGCUGAUUGACAUAAUUAGCAAGAGAGUGUAAUUCAUAAUUCUAUUCAAGAUGUGCGACGAAAACGUAAAUGCAGAUGAUAGCUUUGCUUCUGCCAAUGACAGUGCUCAAAAUGGAGAUGAUCUGAACAUCACAAAUCAGACUGAUGAAACAGAUGACCCAGAUUUAGAAAUGAUUAAAGCUCGCGUCAAAGAAAUGGAAGAAGAAGCUGAAAAAAUCAAGCAGAUGCAGAGUGAAGUUGAAAAACUGAGUCAUGGGAGUGCCCCAGCUUCUCUUCUUGCCCUCACUUAUGAAGAAAAAAUGGAAAUAGAUUCUCGAUCGAUAUAUGUUGGGAAUGUGGAUUAUGGUGCUACAGCUGAAGAACUUGAGCAGCAUUUUCAUGGCUGUGGUUCUAUCAACAGAGUUACUAUACAAUGUGAUAAAUAUACUGGCCAUCCUAAGGGAUUUGCAUAUAUUGAAUUUGCAGACAAAGAUUCAGUGUCUACUUCAACUGCUUUAGACGAGUCCCUGUUUCGAGGACGGCAGAUCAAGGUUAUGCCUAAAAGAACUAACCGUCCAGGCAUAAGUACAACUAACAGACCACCCAGAGGAAGGUUUAGAAGAUCCUCCAGAGGUUCUUACUUUGGUGGUUAUAGGCCUGUUAGAAGGUUCAGGAGACGGAGUUGGUUUCAUCCUUAUUGAUUGAAGCUUUCCAAGGUUUUAAAAGUGGACAAAAUUUUGUUUUUAUUAUAUCAAGCAUUUUCAAAGUUACUUUCAACAACAUCUUCUGUAUAUAUGGAUAAUCUUUUUAAUAUUUUACAUAACUUAUUCUACAUUUUAUGGUAAAGAGCAGUUAUAAGUGAUAAUUCUAAUAAGUUUUCUUUUACUGCAAGCUUAGUGAUGAAAGCUAAGUCUGCAGUAAAAUGAAAAAAAGAAAAUAAAAAACAAGAAAAAGAAAUAAAAGUUCUGUGAAAAAAAUGUAAAAA
rnacentral:misc_RNA from 1 species